rnacentral:rRNA from 1 species
AGAGUUUGAUCAUGGCUCAGGACGAACGCUGGCGGCGUGCCUAAAACAUGCAAGUCGAACGGGGUAGCAAUACCUAGUGGCGAACGGCGGAGUAAUACGUGAACAACGUGCCUUGAAGACUGGGAUAGCCAGGAGAAACCCUGAGUAAUACCGGAUGUGGCAACGGAAUGGCAUCAUUUCGUUACUAAAUGGUUUUUCGCUUCAAGAGCGGUUCACGGCCCAUCAGCUAGUUGGUGAGGUAACGGCUCACCAAGGCGACGACGGGUAGGGGGUCUGAGAGGAUGAUCCCCCCGAGUGGGACUGAGACACGGCCCACACACCUACGGGUGGCAGCAGUUGGGAAUCUUGCACAAUGGGGGAAACCCUGAUGCAGCGACGCCGCGUGGAGGACGAAGGGUCUAGGCUCGUAAACUCCUUUUUUCGGGAAAGACUUAGGACGGUACCCGAAGAAUAAGCACCGGCUAACUACGUGCCAGCCGCCGCGGUAAUAC